AGCUGGCGCCGCUGCCCUGUCCCGGGACACCCGUGGCUGGGGGAAGCCACCUCUCGUCCCCCACUCCCCGGCAUGUGUGCUGCGAGCUGGCCCGAGACUGGGCUGGGCUGGAUUGGCUGCCUUUUUUACUCUCCACUUCCCCUUUGGUGUUUUGUUUUUCCCGCCGUUUUUUUGGCAGAGCACCCGGAAGCCUUGCCCCAGGGGCGCUGGGCGCAAAACAGCUGAGGGAGGAGCCCCUUCUGGGCAGGGGAUGUAGAGCUAGAUCAGACCCCCUCCCUUCGUGUGCUGUGAUUCAUAGCGGGAAAAUGACUAACGCCUGUGUAUUUUGGUGUUUUCUAGAGCUCAACAACUGUUUUAAAUGAACCUUUUAGUAAAAAAAAAAAGAACAAAAAAAAAAGAUCCCCAAGGCAACCCCCUUGGCCCUGUUGAAUCGCAGCUGUUGUAGUAAUAGUAGCUCUUUGUACCUGAAUCCACUUUUUUCUCUUUUUCUGCCCCCCAAUGGGAAUCUUUAUUAUUAGCCUCCACUCCUCCAAAAAUUCCUGCCCAGGCAUAUACAUCGAAGGUCUGGGUGGCCCUCAUGCAUACACCAUGAUCCGGGAGGAUCCAUGGUUGCCACAUUAUUAUGAUUAUUAUUAUUAUUAUUCUGGCAGGGUUUGAACCCGCUUUCCUGUCUAUUGUUAUUGCUAACACUGAACUUUAAAUGACCUUUUACACUGUAUUUGAGAGACUGUGUUUGUUACUGUAGUUCUGCAUUCCUUGGCUUUUAAUACAGGGAUUUGUUUCCUCCCCCUGCCCUCCCUGCCAAAUCCAGUCUUUAACUUUGCAUCGGUUUAAACUUAAAAGAAGCAGUGCUGCCUUCGGACAGGUGGCUUUGUGGUUUCUGCUGCUGCGCAGAGCUUCUGCAAAGGGCAGUAGUGAUAACUUGCUCUCUGCUCUUCAGAGGACAGCAGAUGACGCAUGUGUCGUAUGCGUGGACUAGGGGGAAAAAGUAGAGUAUCGGAGUCCUGACAACCUGCUCAGGUGACUCUUGGUGGUGGGGAAGGGGGAGAAAUAGCCAGAUAAUGCCUUUUCUUCCCUUCCACCAGUUCUAGGGGGAUGAAGAGGAAGGGGUAAAUCAAGUGCAGUAGACAUUUACUCCUCAAAAAUAAUAUUAAAAUUGAGGGCCCCUUGACCAGUGCUCGGGGCAGUACCGUUAUAGGAAUCUAAUGGGAAAAGAGGAUGUUUUGAGAUAGAAGAGUUAGCUUUUCACGUGGGGGAUGCUCCUGAAUGAUAGAAUCUCUGUCUUUCAUGUUGGUCUUUGGCUACUAUAUAUCUGGUAGAAUUUCCAAAACCUAUGGGUAAGGGGUCAUGACUGGAUGGAUAGGUGGGCAGUGGCAUGGUAGUUUUUUGGGGGGAGGCAUUUCUGUCAGAGUGGAAAUGAAGGAUUCAGCAAAACUUCCUAGUCUCCAAAUUGGUCAGGCUGGGCUGUCACUAAAAAUGCCCUUAUGCUGCAGGUGUUAUUAGGACAGUAGUUCAUUUUUGGCAAGGAGGUAGGGGAAAGAUAUUACAAAGCUAGGAUUAGAUUCUGUCUGACCCCUGUGCAAAUAGCAGAGAGAGAGAGAGACACAGAGAGAAAUUUAAGAAAAUAAUUUUCUUGUUCUCCCCUCCAUAAAAUCCAACCGCGAUGACAGUCUCAAAUGUCCCAUGCCUCAAAAGCUUCAUACAAGCUAAAGAAAAGUUUUAUUUGAACCCUUUAGCCCUUCAAGGGGCCACAUCCUACUCAUUUUGUAUUAUAGCGAUAGUCCAGCUGAAGUCAGAGACCAACCAUGUGAAUAAAAUAAGCAAGAUUUGUGCUAGGAUUUUUCUCUAGUUUUUCCCCCACCCUCAGAUGACAGCAUAUUAUUUGGUUUGUUGGAAGCUGGGACAUAUGAGCUCAAGCUAGUGGCUAAUUUUGUACGUGAACAUUUAUCUAUCUUCUAAUACCGUUUUGGGUAAUUAAUACUGUUAGUAUUGGUUUAAAAUAUUAGAGGGAUUAAACCUUUUAGAACUGGGAGGAGUAUUUUGUGUAAGGGGGUAUAAAGUAUUUUGCUCCUUUCAUUGAAAAGCAAAAAGAAAAGGAUGUGCUUACAUUUUACCUACGAUUUCCUGCAUAAAAAAGGGAUGAAACCUGUUAGAAUUGGGAGGAAGGUGGGUAGAGGGUUGUAAGUCAAUUAUUUUAUCAAUAUUAGGAAAAAAAGAAAAAUAUUAACAAAGAUGUGCAAUAUUUUCUAGCACAUGAAAGUAUUGAGAGAGAGUGCAGAUGCAGUGCAGUAACUGCACAUCUGAAUGUAUUACAAAAAUAAAUUAUGUAGGUAUUUUUAAAAUCUUGUUCCAAUGGUUUAUCCUGCGGCCUUCCUUUUGACCUCAAUGGGCAUAUAGCCUGAAUAAACACUACAAUACUGCAGUCUUCUUAAGAAGAUAUACAUACAUACAUACAUACAUACAUACCUACCUACCUACCAGGAGAAAUAUAAAUUUUGCCUAUUGAUAUGAAGGGCAUCCUGUCCCAUUGUACACUUCCUUCUUGGUUUUGUGAGAAAAAGAAAUGCUUUGCUAUUUCUGUCUUACAAGGAUUAAAUUUUUGCAGGAAUGAGGAACACACACAAAGUAAAUGUUUGCCUUGGUGACUGAUAAGCCUCUUUAAAUUAAAAAAGGUAUAAAUGUCCCAGGGGAAUGCAGUAUCCAGUUAGAGUUGGCUCUGUCAACAUCCUAUGAAAAGUUUAAGUGCUAUAGAGCCUUGUAUAUAGAUAAUGAAAGGCCCAGUGAAGAUUUAUAACACCAACAAAAUAUUUUGGUUGAUAAUACCACACCUAGAGACGACCUCCUCUUCAACUAAAGGGCUUGAUGGUGCAAAGUACUGAGACCUCUGUUCUUGAUCCAGUUAAAUAUUUAAGCAUGUGUUCAAGUGCUUGAGGCCAGAUUGUCUUGUUGUUUACACUAUUUUUAUCAAUAAGCUCCACUAAUGUCACACAAAC